rnacentral:rRNA from 1 species
UACGGAGGGGGCUAGCGUUGUUCGGAAUUACUGGGCGUAAAGCGCACGUAGGCGGCUUUGUAAGUUAGAGGUGAAAGCCCAGGGCUCAACCCUGGAAUUGCCUUUAAGACUGCAUCGCUUGAACAUCGGAGAGGUAAGUGGAAUUCCGAGUGUAGAGGUGAAAUUCGUAGAUAUUCGGAAGAACACCAGUGGCGAAGGCGGCUCACUGGACUGGUAUUGACGCUGAUGUGCGAAAGCGUGGGGAGCAAACAGG